ACCAUGAUUUAAGAACCACAUGAUAUAUCUUCCUUUAUCAUUUUGGUAGUAGUUCUAAGGACUUCAUCAUAACAUAUCAGUUCUAUUUUGAAAGAUGUAUUCUUUAUGAUAAAUCUAUCAGAUAAAAUUUAUCAUUUUAUAAUUCAUAUACUGGUAUAGAACAUAAUCAUCUACAACCUAGAUGAUUGGCUUUAGGACAU
rnacentral:lncRNA from 1 species